rnacentral:rRNA from 1 species
UAGGGAAUCUUCGGCAAUGGGGGCAACCCUGACCGAGCAACGCCGCGUGAGUGAAGAAGGUUUUCGGAUCGUAAAGCUCUGUUGUAAGUCAAGAACGGGUGUGAGAGUGGAAAGUUCACACUGUGACGGUAGCUUACCAGAAAGGGACGGCUAACUACGUGCCAGCAGCCGCGGUAAUACGUAGGUCCCGAGCGUUGUCCGGAUUUAUUGGGCGUAAAGCGAGCGCAGGCGGUUUGAUAAGUCUGAAGUUAAAGGCUGUGGCUCAACCAUAGUUCGCUUUGGAAACUGUCAAACUUGAGUGCAGAAGGGGAGAGUGGAAUUCCAUGUGUAGCGGUGAAAUGCGUAGAUAUAUGGAGGAACACCGGUGGCGAAAGCGGCUCUCUGGUCUGUAACUGACGCUGAGGCUCGAAAGCGUGGGGAGCGAACAGGAUUAGAUACCCUGGUAGUCCACGCCGUAAACGAUGAGUGCUAGGUGUUGGAUCCUUUCCGGGAUUCAGUGCCGAAGCUAACGCAUUAAGCACUCCGCCUGGGGAGUACGACCGCAAGGUUGAAACUCU